rnacentral:lncRNA from 1 species
CCAGGACUGAUGCCACAGCCUGCAGCUCCUCCCCAAGCCCAGCCCCAGCCUUUGCCCUUCAAUCCUGAGACCCUGCAAUGCAUGGGUGGGGCUUUCAUCUGCUGGGGAGACUUGAGACCUGGGGGGCCACAGCUGGUUCCUGGACCCCAAAGCCCAGGACCCUUCCAAAUCCUGCCUGGACGGCACUGUGGCCGGGAGCCCAGCCAGCACUUUUCUGCAAGGGUUUUCUGUUUCUUUGAUUAUAAAAUAACCCCUGUUGGUGGGAAAAAAAAAUUAGCAAAAUAAGGAAAAGC